UACGGAGGAUCCGGGCGUUAUCCGGAUUUAUUGGGUUUAAAGGGUGCGUAGGUGGAUUGGUAAGUCAGUGGUGAAAGUUUGCAGCUUAACUGUAAAAUUGCCGUUGAAACUGCCGGUCUUGAGUGCAAAUGAGGUAGGCGGAAUGCGUCGUGUAGCGGUGAAAUGCUUAGAUAUGACGCAGAACUCCGAUUGCGAAGGCAGCUUACUGGGAUGCAACUGACGCUGAGGCACGAAAGCGUGGGUAUCAAACAGGAUUAGAUACCCU
rnacentral:rRNA from 1 species